AACGAACGCUGGCGGCAUGCCUAACACAUGCAAGUCGAACGAGACCUUCGGGUCUAGUUGCGCACGGGUGCGUAACGCGUGGGAACCUGCCCUUAGGUUCGGAAUAACUCCCCGAAAGGGGUGCUAAUACCGGAUAAUGUCUUCGGACCAAAGAUUUAUCGCCUUUGGAUGGGCCCGCGUUGGAUUAGCUAGUUGGUAGGGUAAAAGCCUACCAAGGCGACGAUCCAUAGCUGGUCUGAGAGGAUGAUCAGCCACACUGGGACUGAGACACGGCCCAGACUCCUACGGGAGGCAGCAGUGGGGAAUAUUGGAAAAUGGGCGAAAGCAUGAUCCAGCAAUGCCGCGUGAGUGAUGAAGGCCUUAGGGUUGUAAAGCUCUUUUACCCGGGAUGAUAAUGACAGUACCGGGAGAAUAAGCUCCGGCUAACUCCGUG
rnacentral:rRNA from 1 species